rnacentral:precursor_RNA from 9 species
GUGAAGACACAGGAACCAAUAUUGAGGGAGCUUGCCAAUGUCUUGUUUUCUGAUUAAAAUUUAACUCACAAACAUCACAUUUGUAAGGUUUCCACUUUAUUACCUACAACAUCAUUUAGA